UACGGAGGGUGCAAGCGUUAUCCGGAUUUAUUGGGUUUAAAGGGUCCGUAGGCGGACUCGUAAGUCAGUGGUGAAAUCUCAUAGCUUAACUAUGAAACUGCCAUUGAUACUGCGGGUCUUGAGUAAAGUAGAAGUGGCUGGAAUAAGUAGUGUAGCGGUGAAAUGCAUAGAUAUUACUUAGAACACCAAUUGCGAAGGCAGGUCACUAUGUUUUAACUGACGCUGAUGGACGAAAGCGUGGGGAGCGAACAG
rnacentral:rRNA from 1 species